GACGAACGCUGGCGGCGUGCUUAACACAUGCAAGUCGAGCGGAAAGGCCACUUUGUGGUACUCGAGCGGCGAACGGGUGAGUAACACGUGAGUAAUCUGCCCUUGGCUUUGGGAUAGCCACCGGAAACGGUGAUUAAUACCGGAUAUGACCAUUCUUCGCAUGUUGGGUGGUGGAAAGUUUUUCGGCCAGGGAUGUGCUCGCGGCCUAUCAGCUUGAUGGUGAGGUAAUGGCUCACCAUGGCUUCGACGGGUAGCCGGCCUGAGAGGGUGACCGGUCACACUGGGACUGAGACACGGCCCAGACUCCUACGGGAGGCAGCAGUGGGGAAUAUUGGACAAUGGGCGGAAGCCUGAUCCAGCAACGCCGCGUGAGGGAUGACGGCCUUCGGGUUGUAAACCUCUUUCGCCUGUGACGAAGCGCAAGUGACGGUAACAGGUAAAGAAGCACCGGCCAACUACGUGCCAGCAGCCGCGGUAAUACGUAGGGUGCGAGCGUUGUCCGGAAUUAUUGGGCGUAAAGGGCUCGUAGGCGGUUUGUCGCGUCGGGAGUGAAAACGCCGUGCUUAACACGGCGCUUGCUUUCGAUACGGGCAGACUAGAGGUAUUCAGGGGAGAACGGAAUUCCUGGUGUAGCGGUGAAAUGCGCAGAUAUCAGGAGGAACACCGGUGGCGAAGGCGGUUCUCUGGGAAUGACCUGACGCUGAGGAGCGAAAGUGUGGGGAGCGAACAGGAUUAGAUACCCUGGUAGUCCACACCGUAAACGUUGGGCGCUAGGUGUGGGGUCCAUUCCACGGAUUCCGUGCCGCAGCUAACGCAUUAAGCGCCCCGCCUGGGGAGUACGGCCGCAAGGCUAAAACUCAAAGGAAUUGACGGGGGCCCGCACAAGCGGCGGAGCAUGCGGAUUAAUUCGAUGCGACGCGAAGAACCUUACCUGGGUUUGACAUACACCCUGCCGCUCCAGAGAUGGGGCUUCUUUUGGGGGUGUACAGGUGGUGCAUGGCUGUCGUCAGCUCGUGUCGUGAGAUGUUGGGUUAAGUCCCGCAACGAGCGCAACCCUCGUUCUAUGUUGCCAGCACGUCCUUUCGGGGAUGGUGGGGACUCAUAGGAGACUGCCGGGGUCAACUCGGAGGAAGGUGGGGAUGACGUCAAGUCAUCAUGCCCCUUAUGUCCAGGGCUUCACGCAUGCUACAAUGGCCGGUACAAAGGGCUGCGAUCCCGUGAGGGGGAGCGAAUCCCAAAAAGCCGGUCUCAGUUCGGAUUGGGGUCUGCAACUCGACCCCAUGAAGUCGGAGUCGCUAGUAAUCGCAGGUCAGCAACGCUGCGGUGAAUACGUUCCCGGGCCU
rnacentral:rRNA from 1 species